rnacentral:rRNA from 1 species
GUUGCCGCCCAGCAGCCGCGACGGGAGGCAGCAGUGGGGAAUUUUGGCACACAAUGGGCGCAAGCCUGAUCCAGCCAUGCCGCGUGAGUGAAGAAGGCCUUCGGGUUGUAAAGCUCUUUCAGUUGGGAAGAAACGAUUACAACUAAUAAUUGUAAUUAAUGACGGUACCGACAGAAGAAGCACCGGCUAACUACGUGCCAGCAGCCGCGGUAAU